UACGAAGGUGGCAAGCGUUACUCGGAAUUACUAGGCGUAAAGGGCAGGUAGGUGGUUCGGUAAGUCUGUUGUGUAAGCUCCCGGCUUAACUGGGAGAGGUCAACGGAAACUACCGGACUUGAGUAUAGGAGAGGUUACUGGAAUUCCCGGUGUAGCGGUGAAAUGCGCAGAUAUCGGGAGGAACACCAAUGGCGAAAGCAGGUAACUGGACUAUUACUGACACUCAGCUGCGAAAGCUAGGGGAGCAAACAGG
rnacentral:rRNA from 1 species